CAGGAGCCUUUUCUCCAGCAUGUCCUUCUGGGGCUGCCCCUUUAAAAUGGGCAGAACCAAGAAGCUGCAGCCAUUUUGUGACUGACUGCUGCUUGCUGUGUCUCCCUGCCUUCCAUCUGGUUUCAUUGGAUGUACAUCUUUGUCUCAGAGCAUCCUGGCGGGAUCCUGGAAGCAAAGCUUAGCUCGUUCUACAACACGUGGAGAAUUAAAGGAUAUCGGAGGCAUUAAAAACUGACAACUGCAAUUUUAAUAUGCCAGGUCAACAGACAGAAUGUCCCAUUCUCUGAAUAUGGGCCUCAGAACACUGCAUUUCAAGGGCUACUCGUGAUUCUGGGAGAAAUACCUGCUGAGGUGAUCAGCCAACUGCUUCUGGCUCCUGGGGCUCCAGGACUGCCAGUGGCACCCUGACAAAGCUGAACUCAGGAGAUAGACACAUUUUAACCAGCUUUGAAGUGGAUGAAGGCGCAAUCUCUCAGGGUGGACUAAAUAACUGCAUGUGUCCAGGCACACAGACUGAAGUUGAAUGACGAGAUUGGAAGGACAGACACAGCCCCCAAUGAACAUACUGUGGCCGGAGAGUCCUGAAAGGAAUGCAGUGUGUCAUUAGUCUUUUCAGAAAACGAGAACAGACCAUUGAAGGUUACCACUCCAUGAGAGCACCUUCCCUCUUAUCCCGUGGCAGCUUACUCUGAGUAAGAGCCGUUGGUGAGGGACCUUCUCAAAGGCUUUCUGAAAAUCUAAGAACACUAUAUCCACUGGAUACCCUUGGUCCACAUGCUUGUUGACCCCCUCAAAGAAUUCUAGUAGAUUGAACAGCUCAGCUGCCAGCAAAAGCAGGUGCUCUCACCGUAUAUGAGCUCCAGAGGAAAUAUUUAGGAAAUGGAAAACCUGAUGCUUGGCAACAGAUCCUGUAAAGUUAUCUGGACGCUGCUUAUAACAAUUUUAGGCUAUACCAGCUGUCUGCCUGUGGGUGAUGAUUCUGUUUGCACAGCAGAGGAAGUUGCUAAGUACAGCAUACUCUUUGUAGGGAAAUGGAGUCAGGCUGCUUUCCCUAAGCAGUAUCCCCUUUAUAGGCCUCCAGCACAGUGGUCUUCCUUGCUAGGUGUUACCCAUAGUUCUGACUAUAACAUGUGGAAAAAGGAUGAAUAUGCCAGCAAUGGUGUGCGUGAUUUUGCUGAAAAGGGUGAAGCAUGGACAUUAAUGAAGGAAAUAGAAGCAGCUGGAGAAAAAAUUCAAAGUGUGCAUGGAAUCUUCUCAGCUCCUGCCAUUUCCAGUGGUACAGGACAAACUUUCACGGAAUUAGAAGCACAUUCAAGACACUCCUUAGUUUCUUUUGUUGUACGAAUUGUGCCCAGCCCUGAUUGGUUUGUGGGUGUUGACAGUCUAAAUCUAUGUGAAGGAGAUCAUUGGAAAGAACAAGAAACAGUAGAACUUUUUCCAUAUGAUGCUGGAACAGACAGUGGUUUCACAUUUUCCUCACCAAACUUUGCCACUAUUCCACAGGACACUGUUACAGAAAUCACUUGUUCCUCUCCAAGUCACCCAGCAAACUCAUUUUAUUAUCCCAAGCUAAAAAGUUUGCCACCUAUUGCUCGAGUAACCAUUGUAAAACUUAAAAGAAACCAGCUGGGUCUUCCUGGUCCUGAGCCUAACCUGACUGCUAUAGGCAAUGAAAUAGAUGACUCUGUCUCAGAAACACCACUGGACUGUGAGAUUUCACUGUGGUCUUCCUGGGGUCUUUGCAGAGGACUCAGAUGAGGAUCCUGAUGAGUCCUGAAGAAAUUAGAACUUUUAUCAGCAUAGUACAUACUGGUCCUCCAAACACUGAAUAAACAAUUAAAACAAACACUCGGCUACAGUCGAAUACAGCUAAGUAUUUUUAAAAAAACCCUAACUUUUGUCAUUUCUGGAUGCCUUGUAUUCUUUUGAUUAUCACUCUCCUGUCCUCCAUGUCUCCUCGUUUCACUUAUUCUUGUUUAUAACAUCAUCUUUUUUUCUCCAUGUUCCUCCUGUGUCCACAUUCGUACAGGUUCAUUAGCGCUCAAAUAUCCUGAUUUUGGGGAGAAAAGAACUUUUCUCAGGUCUCUCCACAUUCUGUAUUAUGUUUGUCCUUUUCCAUUCUUUGUUUGUUUUUCUAUACAGAAGUCUUCCUUAUUUUCUGUUUUGGGUUUUUUUUUAAUUUAACUGUAUAAAUACCUAGAUAAACAAUUACAUCCAGGGUAUAAGAACAACUUUAAAAUGUUUUAAAAUAUACACGUGAAGUAUGCUUUCUGCUUUUAUAUAUCCUGUUCCCUCGCUCCUUCCCCAAUCCAUUUUCAUUGCUCUUUGCCCCAUUCAUUUCAUGGCUGUGAGACAGCCAUGUUACUGCAAGGCAUGAAUUUAGCCUCCAGCAUCAUUCCUAUUAAUGGACAGAAUUUGAACUGUUGACUGAUAAAUGGCUAAAGGCUCCAAGUCCUAUUACUAGUCCAUGUUCCUGGACUGAUGAUAGAACCCUAAGUGAAAACAUAAUAUGUGAUAGUUACAAACACUAGGAAUGAGAGGAUAAGGAGAAACUUGUAAUAUUUUCCACGCGAUGUCAUGACGACAGCUGUAACUUAUAACAACAUGAAAUAUAUAAUAAAGGCCAGAUUUUUCAAGUACUCAGCACCCGCAAAUUGAGGCUGGUUUUUCAAAAGCACUCAACCACUGCUUCCAUUAUGGCAUUUAUGUAACCCCCUGGGGGUUUAGAGAGCUUGGCCCUUUAAACCUUGUCCGGAGGCAGAGGGAGUGCUGAUUGUUGCAGCAAGAGGAAGUGUUGGUUGUUCCAGGAGUGUGGAGAGAGGUAGAGUGACAGGGUAGGUCUGUCUGUUGCUACAGAGAGAACGACUAUAACAAGCAGCCCCUCACAUAGUGAAGCAACCGAGAAUCAGCCCGAAGCUUGGGAGGGACAGAAUGACCAACCAGGGACGCCCCAGGACAGGAGACAGGAGGAACACCAUGUUAAGGAGGAAUCACUUGAGAAGGACAAACCGGACCUGGACGCAGUAUCACAGUUGCCCAGAGCUGGAUGGGGCCAUCAGGAUGAAGGAUAGUCCAUUGACACAGGAGGUGGGAAUCCUGAGAGGACAGAAGCGACUUUGUCUGUACAAAGUGCAAACUGGUCUCCAUAUUGGAAGAGAAGGUUCAAGGCCUGCAGAAACAAGUAUCGACCCUGCGUUGCAUAAGAGAAACUGAAGAUUUCCUGGACAGACGUCAGGAUAUGCUUCUACAGACACAACAUUCGGAAGAUUCAGAGCAGGCUGCGCAGCGGGGACAGAAGGACGGUGAAGAAAUUUGGCAGCAUGAGACCUCC